GGUUGCUAGACAAAAGUAAUAUGUGCACAUAUGCACAUAUGAUAUUUAUGACACUGGUUAUGUUUCACAUUAUGGAUAAUAAAUAGUUGUUAUGUCAUUUCUUGUUUACAUACAUGAGAU